rnacentral:rRNA from 1 species
GACGUAGGAGGCGAGCGUUGUCCGGAUUCAUUGGGCGUAAAGAGCGCGCAGGCGGCUUGGUAAGUCGGAUGUGAAAUCCCGAGGCUCAACCUCGGGUCUGCAUCCGAUACUGCCCGGCUAGAGGUAGGUAGGGGAGAUCGGAAUUCCUGGUGUAGCGGUGAAAUGCGCAGAUAUCAGGAGGAACACCGGUGGCGAAGGCGGAUCUCUGGGCCUUACCUGACGCUCAGGCGCGAAAGCUAGGGGAGCGAACAGG